rnacentral:rRNA from 1 species
ACGCUCGACACCUACGGGAGACAGCAGUGGGGAAUAUUGCACAAUGGGGGAAACCCUGAUGCAGCAACGCCGCGUGAAGGAAGACGGUUUUCGGAUUGUAAACUUCUGUUCUUAGUGAAGAUAGUGACGGUAGCUAAGGAGCAAGCCACGGCUAACUACGUGCCAACAGCCGCGGUAAUCUGAGCGGGCUGGCAAGGC